rnacentral:rRNA from 1 species
AUUGAACGCUGGCGGCAGGCCUAACACAUGCAAGUCGAACGGUAACAGGAAGCAGCUUGCUGCUUCGCUGACGAGUGGCGGACGGGUGAGUAAUGUCUGGGAAGCUGCCUGAUGGAGGGGGAUAACUACUGGAAACGGUAGCUAAUACCGCAUAAUGUCGCAAGACCAAAGAGGGGGACCUUCGGGCCUCUUGCCAUCGGAUGUGCCCAGAUGGGAUUAGCUUGUUGGUGGGGUAACGGCUCACCAAGGCGACGAUCCCUAGCUGGUCUGAGAGGAUGACCAGCCACACUGGAACUGAGACACGGUCCAGACUCCUACGGGAGGCAGCAGUGGGGAAUAUUGCACAAUGGGCGCAAGCCUGAUGCAGCCAUGACGCGUGUAUGAAGAAGGCCUUCGGGUUGUAAAGUACUUUCAGCGGGGAGAAGGGGAGUAAAGUUAAUACCUUUGCUCAUUGACGUUACCCGCAGAAGAAGCACCGGCUAACUCCGUG